rnacentral:rRNA from 1 species
UACGUAGGGGGCAAGCGUUGUCCGGAAUCAUUGGGCGUAAAGCGUGCGUAGGUGGUUUGUUAAGUCUGAUGUGAAAGCCCUGGGCUCAACCUGGGAACGGCAUUGGAAACUGGCUUACUAGAGUGCGGUAGAGGGGUGUGGAAUUCCCGGUGUAGCAGUGAAAUGCGUAGAUAUCGGGAGGAACAUCUGUGGCGAAGGCGACACCCUGGACCAGCACUGACACUGAGGCACGAAAGCGUGGGGAGCAAACAGG